UACAGAGGUGGCAAGCGUUGUUCGGAUUUACUGGGCGUAAAGGGCGCGUAGGCGGUCGUGACAAGUCACUUGUGAAAUCUCCGGGCUUAACUCGGAACGGUCAAGUGAUACUGUCGGACUAGAGUACAGAAGGGGCAACUGGAAUUCUCGGUGUAGCGGUGAAAUGCGUAGAUAUCGAGAGGAACACCUGCGGCGAAGGCGGGUUGCUGGGCUGAUACUGACGCUGAGGCGCGGAAAGCCAGGGGAGCGAACGGG
rnacentral:rRNA from 1 species